AACACAUAUUGAGGACAUACCUGCAGGAGAUCCUUGAACCUAUCCCAUGUCUCAAAAAGGGACUAUAAUUCCGUUUGCACAAAAGAGCAUAUUUCAAUCCUGAGCUU